CCUUGUACACACCGCCCGUCACACCAUGGGAGUUGGCUUUACCCGAAGACGGUGCGCUAACCGCAAGGAGGCAGCCGGCCACGGUAAGGUCAGCGACUGGGUG
rnacentral:rRNA from 1 species